CCAGAAUUGGAGCUCAUAUCUUUGGCAGCUGUAAAGUUUCUGCUCCUUCAAAGUUCACAACACAGUGAAUGAAUUCCUAAAAUACUCAAUGCUGGAGAGCAUUUGUGAUGCUGAAGCAGUGACCAGUUUUUCUGUUUCUUCUCUGGAGAUGCACAAUGAGGGACGUCUGCAGAGACUGAGAAAGAGUCUCACCACAUCCUGACAUGAGGAAAAAGACUUUAUUGAAGACUGCAAUGAGAAAAACUAUCAGACAGCAGACGGCUGCAUUCAAGGCUACAGGAGGAGCCCUACGAGGACGAGCUGGUCCACCUGAUGGCGGCCAGUCGCUGCGGUUCAAAGCCAACACCGACUACGUGGACUUCUACUGGACCACACGGAGGCCUUCAAACUGGACCAACAAGUUCAGCGACUCCCCGACUCGUGGGUCUGAGGACGCCGCCGAGCCUCGGUCCAGCCGGCCUCCUGUCUGUGGGUGUUUGAGUGCUGAGAGGUUUAUGGAUCCAUGUGAACGUUCUGUGUUGAAACAGCAGCUUUGGACUCAGUAACGCCGGGAAAAACCAAGAGCUCCUUUAUUUGUGACUUCCACUAAAAAAAAACUGAUGAAAAUAAGUUUGCCAGGGUUCUGACUGAUAACAGAUUAUUAAAUAAUGAAAAUAAUCGUUUAAAUAUUCCUUUAAACAAUCCUUUUAGGUCUACAUUUCCUUUACACUGACUUCUUGGUAUAUGUACAAGUAUUUUGGGUGGAAUAUACCAUUAAGCCCAAUGUUCAAGGGUUCUUCUGGGAAUAUACCAUUAAACCAACCUUUUAGGUAAAUGUUCCAGGAUGUUGGGUAGAA
ensembl:lncRNA